AGAAGCGGAAAUGCAAGUAACGUGAUAAUGUGACGAGCAUUGUAAACAGCCGUGAAUGUUUUUGCUAGCCUGUAAAAGGAAUGCCGUUACAAGAGUCGUUUACUUGAAGCUCCAGGAUGUUGUGUGAAGUCUUGCUGUCAUCGUUAUGGUUCCUAUUUGUGAUCUUCUGGGUCGAGACAAUAAAUGUUUGGCUGUUUCUGUCUAUGUUCUACCAGGACCGGGCGUUUUACCACUGGGGAGAUGGGGUAUUUGCAGAUGAUCCUGGACGGAUGAUAUACAUGUUGAGCAG